GAAAUAUGUGAUUCAAAUAAAAGCCGCUAACUUUUAAUUUUAAUAGUUAAACUCUAUUUAUAUUUCU
rnacentral:tRNA from 1 species